rnacentral:misc_RNA from 1 species
GUUCCAAACUAGGCAUAGAUGUUCCUGCUAAGAACGACUUGACGAGAGUGAGAGCUUGCUUUGGUCUAUGCAGAGCAACUUCAUGACCGGCGCCUCUUACUGUAACAAAUGUCAGCCCUUUGUACUCCUGAGUCCAUCCUCCAACCUGUCCAUCAUCAUACCAAGCGCGCCAAGGAGCAACAGUUGGCAAUUUUAGAGCAUUUAUGCUGUAACGGGUUGAUGUAACGGGGAUCACAGCAUCUGUGUCACCACUGAAAACCCAAAUACGAAGGCCUGACUUUAUCAAUUCACGAUAGACGUCCAGCACUGUAUUGGGAGAAUCCUUCCAACCGCUGGAUACUUCUUCACUGCAAGUUACCCAUUUGAAUGAUGAGUUUCUCAUAUGAACAUGAAGAGCACUCUGAACUUCAGGAAGAUUGAAGUAGAUCUUCGAGUGCUGCUCUGUGCAUGGAUCAUAGCUUCUUCUGAGAUGGCCUACGCUGUUG